rnacentral:rRNA from 1 species
UACAGAGGGGGCAAGCGUUGUUCGGAAUUACUGGGCGUAAAGGGCGCGUAGGCGGCCUGUUAAGUCGAACGUGAAAUCCCCGGGCUCAACCCGGGAACUGCGUCCGAUACUGGCAGGCUUGAAUUCUGGAGAGGGAUGUGGAAUUCCAGGUGUAGCGGUGAAAUGCGUAGAUAUCUGGAGGAACACCGGUGGCGAAGGCGGCAUCCUGGACCGAUAUUGACGCUGAUGCGCGAAAGCCAGGGGAGCAAACGGG